rnacentral:rRNA from 1 species
UACAGAGGGUGCGAGCGUUGUUCGGAAUUAUUGGGCGUAAAGGGUGCGUAGGCUGCGCGGAAAGUUGGGUGUGAAAUCCCUCGGCUCAACCGAGGAACUGCGCCCAAAACUACCGUGCUCGAGGAAGAUAGAGGUAAGCGGAACUUACGGUGGAGCGGUGAAAUGCGUUGAUAUCGUAAGGAACACCUGUGGCGAAAGCGGCUUACUGGGUCUUUUCUGACGCUGAUGCACGAAAGCUAGGGGAGCAAACGGGAGUUAGA